UAAAGCAUGUAGUCUGUUCAGCGAUUUCUUACUUUCUGGUUUAUCUCCCGUGCAAGUUCAAGAGCCUUUUGAUAAGCCUCGCCAGCAGGAACACAGUAGUUUACUACUCCUGCAAUGUGAGCAUACAUGACCCUUCUAAGAAUCGAUAAAAGGUGUCCUUGAGGAAGAAGUCGUAACAGCAGGGAGCAAAUCUGAAGAUGUUAAACUGACACAGUAGUUUACUACUCCUGCAAUGUGAGCAUACAUGACCCUUCUAAGAAUCGAUAAAAGGUGUCCUUGAGGAAGAAGUCGUAACAGCAGGGAGCAAAUCUGAAGAUGUUAAACUGAC
rnacentral:lncRNA from 1 species